AUCAAUUGUUGUCAAAACACUCCAAAUGAUGAUGAAUCGUUCUUGGUACCUUGCUUGUCUUGUAUUUGGAAGUCUGGUGCUCGUGGUGCAUCAUGUCUCUUCCCAAGAGUUCCUUUUACCUUGUGUUUAUCGUGGAGUGCCGUAUCUUCACUCCACGGUGUGGGACAUUGACGAAUGCACAACCUGUACUUGUGAUAACAGCACUACAACAUGCGUAAUUGAAGCUUGUCAACCGGUAUUCUGCGUUGAACCCUUUCAACUGCCAGGAGGAUGCUGCUUUAUCUGUCCAUACAUAGAGGAAUCCGAUGGGCGGGUAUCUCAGUUUUCUGUAUCACUUAGCAGCGGUGAACCUUUGCUCCCUUGUAUAUAUCAUGGAAUUCCGUUUCUUCACGCCGAAGUGUGGAAUAUGGGC